CCGGGACGGACGAACCUCUGGUGUGCCAGUUGUUCCGCCAGGAGCACGGCUGGUUGGCUACGUUCGGAAGGGAUAACCGCUGAAAGCAUCUAAGUGGGAAGCCUGCUUCAAGAUGAGGACUCUCACCGUUGAUCGGGUAAGGUCCCCAAUAGACGAUUGGGUUGAUAGGCCGGAAGUGUAAGCACAGCGAUGUGUUCAGCUGACCGGUACUAAUAGACCGAGGACUUGACCAC
rnacentral:rRNA from 1 species